CACGCCCUAAACGAUGCGAACUAGGUGUUGGGGAAGGAGACUUUCUUAGUACCGCAGCUAACGCGUGAAGUUCGCCGCCUGGGGAGUACGGUCGCAAGAUUAAAACUCAAAGGAAUUGACGGGGACCCGCACAAGCGGUGGAUGAUGUGGAUUAAUUCGAUGCAACGCGAAAAACCUUACCUACCCUUGACAUGUCAAGAAUUUUGCAGAGAUGUGAAAGUGCUCGAAAGAGAACUUGAACACAGGUGC
rnacentral:rRNA from 1 species